UAAGAUAUCAAUCUACAAGUACGGAUCUGAUCUAAAACCUCAUUCAAGUCUUGGUAAAACAUUCUGCAAAAUCAUUUUUGAAGAAGCAGCUGACAAUGAAUUUGUUUAAACUUGCUCUGAUUUUUGGUCUUGUGGUUGCACUUCUUGUCCCUACUGAUGGAUGGGGCUGGAGGAGGAGGAGGAGGCGAUUUUGGAGGCCGAGGCGGAUUUGCAGGAACAUUUGCAGCCCAUCAUGUCGUACUGUAUGUCCCAUAGCAAAUCUCAAUAGAGGAGAAUGCAGACUUCGAAAGCUUCUUAGAGUAGUAUGCAGACGCCGAUGCCGUCGUAGGUGCUUUACCCUGGGGAAGCGAGAUGGCAAAACAAAGGAAGCCUUCAUCCAGCCCGCAGUGAAAAGAAAGCAUCAGUCCAGAGUUAAAUAAUGUCAACAUCUUACAAACACUUGUAAUUUUGACAAUCUAAUUUCAUGAUUAAGACAUUUAAAAUUGUUAAUGAGUCGCGAAGAAUAUUGAUAAUGGGAUUAAAUGAAAUAGAAAUUA